UAUUUGAAAAUUUCGGGUACACCC
rnacentral:siRNA from 1 species